rnacentral:rRNA from 1 species
CAAUGGCGUAUAUUAAAGUUGUUGCAGUUAAAAAGCUCGUAGUUGGAUUUCUGGAGGGAGCGUCGGCCCGUAUUUACGAGUGCGUGACGUCUCUGUCCAUCCUUGCGGGAAGGCACGGCAUUGAUUUGUUGUGUCGGAUCGCAUCAUUUACUGUGAAAAAAUUAGAGUGUUCAAAGCAGGCUUUCGCUUGAAUACAUUAGCAUGGAAUAAUAAGAUAGGACUUUGGUGCUAUUUUGUUGGUUGAGCCUAAAGUAAUGAUUAAUAGGGAUAGUUGGGGGCACCUGUAUUGCGUUGUCAGAGGUGAAAUUCUUGGAUUUACGCAAGACAAACAGCUGCGAAAGCGUCUGCCAAGGAUGUUUUCAUUAA